rnacentral:rRNA from 2 species
UGCAGUCGAGCGGACCGACGGGAGCUUGCUCCCUUAGGUCAGCGGCGGACGGGUGAGUAACACGUGGGUAACCUGCCUGUAAGACUGGGAUAACUCCGGGAAACCGGGGCUAAUACCGGAUGCUUGAUUGAACCGCAUGGUUCAAUCAUAAAAGGUGGCUUUUAGCUACCACUURCAGAUGGACCCGCGGCGCAUUAGCUAGUUGGUGAGGUAACGGCUCACCAAGGCGACGAUGCGUAGCCGACCUGAGAGGGUGAUCGGCCACACUGGGACUGAGACACGGCCCAGACUCCUACGGGAGGCAGCAGUAGGGAAUCUUCCGCAAUGGACGAAAGUCUGACGGAGCAACGCCGCGUGAGUGAUGAAGGUUUUCGGAUCGUAAAACUCUGUUGUUAGGGAAGAACAAGUACCGUUCGAAUAGGGCGGCACCUUGACGGUACCUAACCAGAAAGCCACGGCUAACUACGUGCCAGCAGCCGCGGUAAUACGUAGGUGGCAAGCGUUGUCCGGAAUUAUUGGGCGUAAAGCGCGCGCAGGCGGUUUCUUAAGUCUGAUGUGAAAGCCCCCGGCUCAACCGGGGAGGGUCAUUGGAAACUGGGGAACUUGAGUGCAGAAGAGGAGAGUGGAAUUCCACGUGUAGCGGUGAAAUGCGUAGAGAUGUGGAGGAACACCAGUGGCGAAGGCGACUCUCUGGUCUGUAACUGACGCUGAGGCGCGAA